rnacentral:misc_RNA from 1 species
AGGGGCCUGCGGAAGGAUCAUUAAAGAGUAAGGGUGCUCAGCGCCCGACCUCCAACCCUUUGUUGUUAAAACUACCUUGUUGCUUUGGCGGGACCGCUCGGUCUCGAGCCGCUGGGGAUUCGUCCCAGGCGAGCGCCCGCCAGAGUUAAACCAAACUCUUGUUAUUUAACCGGUCGUCUGAGUUAAAAUUUUGAAUAAAUCAAAACUUUCAACAACGGAUCUCUUGGUUCUCGCAUCGAUGAAGAACGCAGCGAAAUGCGAUAAGUAAUGUGAAUUGCAGAAUUCAGUGAAUCAUCGAAUCUUUGAACGCACAUUGCGCCCCUUGGUAUUCCGAGGGGCAUGCCUGUUCGAGCGUCAUUACACCACUCAAGCUAUGCUUGGUAUUGGGCGUCGUCCUUAGUUGGGCGCGCCUUAAAGACCUCGGCGAGGCCACUCCGGCUUUAGGCGUAGUAGAAUUUAUUCGAACGUCUGUCAAAGGAGAGGAACUCUGCCGACUGAAACCUUUAUUUUUCUAGGUUGACCUCGGAUCAGGUAGGGAUACCCGCUGAACUUAA